rfam:Zea mays cultivar B73 chromosome 7, whole genome shotgun sequence.
CUGGAAUGAUGAAAGUUAGCCAAAUCGUAUAAUGAUGUGCUCCUCCUGGUGUCAUCUUAGUCUGCACUUGGUGAAGUUUUCUUCUUCCCAAGUACAAGAUGAGAUGACUGGAGUUGAAGUUUGCAUCAGUAUGUGAUGAUAGAAAUGGAGAUUGGUAACUUGCUGACCAGA